UUAAAAAGCUCGUAGUUGGAUUUUGGUUAAGAGGGCGCGGUCGGCCGUUUGGUCAGUACUGCGUUGUCUUGACUUCCUGAUGAGGACAUGCUCUUGGUUAACGCUGAGACAUGGAGUCAUCGUGGUUACUUUGAAAAAAUUAGAGUGUUCAAAGCGGGCUUACGCUUGAAUAUAUUAGCAUGGAAUAACACUAUAGGACUCCUGUCCUAUCUCGUUGGUCUCGGGGUGGGAGUAAUGAUUAAGAGGAACAGUUGGGGGCAUUCGUAUUUCAUUGUCAGAGGCGAAAUUCUUGGAUUUAUGAAAGACGAACUUCUGCGAAAGCAUUUGCCAAGGAUGUUUUCAUUAAUCAAGAACGAAAGUUGGGGGCUCGAAGAUGAUUAGAUACCAUCCUAGUCUCAACCAUAAACGAUGCCGACUAGGGAUUGGUGGAUGUUAAUUGAUGACUUCACCAGCACCUUAUGAGAAAUCAAAGUUUUUGGGUUCCGGGGGGAGUAUGGUCGCAAGGCUGAAACUUA
rnacentral:rRNA from 1 species